CUACGGGUUGCUCCAGUGGGGAAUAUUGGACAAUGGGGGCAACCCUGAUCCAGCAAUACCGCGUGUGUGAAGAAGGCCUUAGGGUUGUAAAGCACUUUAGUUGGGGAAGAAGGUAUGUAGUUUAAGAGAUAACAUGCUUGACGGUACCCAAAGAAUAAGCACCGGCUAACUCUGUGCCAGCAGCCGCGGUAAUACAGAGGGUGCAAGCGUUAAUCGGAAUUACUGGGCGUAAAGGGCGCGUAGGCGGGUUAUUAAGUUAGAUGUGAAAUCCCUGGGCUUAACCUAGGAACUGCAACUAAUACUGAUAGUCUAGAGUGCUGUAGAGGGUAGUGGAAUUUCCGGUGUAGCGGUGAAAUGCGUAGAUAUCGGAAGGAACACCAGUGGCGAAGGCGGCUACCUGGACAGACACUGACGCUGAGGCGCGAAAGCGUGGGGAGCAAACAGGAUUAGAUACCCCCGUAGUC
rnacentral:rRNA from 1 species